rnacentral:lncRNA from 1 species
AGAGAGAAAGGGGAUAUUUGAAGAAAUUUUAAAAAUCAAUAGAGUAUUUUGAUCGUCUAGGAAUAAAUAAAAUAUUUUCGAAGUUUUGAAGGGCAUAUUAGAUAUUAUCCCUUUUUUUUUAGAUAAACAUAUACGGUACUUACCUGAACUAUAAACUAUUUUGAAUCAGCUAUUCAACAUUUCAAAAUUUUAAUUUAUUUUUCAAUCUUUCAAUUUAUUUGAUUUAAGUCAAUCAACGAUAUUUUGAUUUUAAAAUUUAAGCUAAUUAUUAUAUAUUUUAAUGAAUUUAUAGUUGUUAAAAUUUUAUAAAAUAAACUAACUAAAUCUAUAAAAAUAAACAACGUAUUAGAAUUUUGAAAUCAAACUAUCGUCGACCGACUCAAACUAAACAAACUGAAAGAUUAAAUAGUAAAAUCAAA